CCACCUGAGCCCUCUCCCGGGCCCAAGCAGACCUCCCCACAGCUCAUGUGUGGAUCACGAAGCCCACAGCCCUUGGCCCCCAGCACUCUCCACUUACGUUUUCGUUCCUGUUGUUCCUCAUCCAGCACCAUAGGCACAACGCUGUUUUUUGAAUAAGUGACUGAAUGAAUGACAGGGAAGCUUUCAGCAUGGGCACUUGAACCAGAUUGACAAGCACACACAUACACCAGUGCUCCUGCUCCACUCUCCCCCACUUCCUCUCACUCCUCUCCCCUGCCUGGCACUCCCAGUCUAGUGGGGAGACCACCUGACAGGCAUCUGGGACACAGUGUGAGAAGGGCGUGUGCCGAGCAGGAGAAGCACUGUACCGAGCAGCAGGAGGAGAUGUGUCCAAUCCAGCCUCUGGCAAAGUCAGGGAAGGCUACCUGGAGGAGUUGACAUCCAGGCUGAGACGUGAAGGCUGAGUAGGAGUUUUCCAGGCUGAGGAAAGAGUGAGGGCAAAGACUUCAGGGUCCUGUUAAUGCAACUGCUGUGUUACCCCAAGUGAGAAGGAUCUAGAAGUUGGAGGAUCCAGGCAUCAGUCCUGGCUCAGCCCCUGACUGGCUCUGCGCCUGGGGCUGACUCUCCCCCUUUCUGAGCCUCAGCUUAUGUAUAAAAUAAAGGGACUGCACCAGAUGGACCUGGAAUUCCUCAGUCUGUUUGUUGACACUUGGACUCUUAUUUAAAGAAUACCAUUUACCAAAAAACCAAUACAGGCUUUUUGAAGGACAAAGUAGCAAAAGCCACAGCUUUUUUUUUUUUUUUUUUUAAA